GAGGCUUCGGCCUUGCCAUUCGGAUAUCCACUCGAAACGGGUGGUUAAUACGUGGAAGAAAAGAGCCGCCUCCAAUCAACCACGCCUAGGGAAACCCGGGCUGGGGAGGCGGUUUGGUGUGGACCGAAACAAAAACCGACGCCCGCAAGGGCAGUUUCAUGACAUCGGUGAAUCAGGUCCACUUAACCUAAAGCGCAGUUCACUGCGCGUUCCAGGACGAAUUUCUGCCCUAUCAGCUAUGAAGGUAAAGUAGUGGUUUACCUUGGCGGUCACGGGUAACGGAGAAUCAGGGUUCGAUUCCGGAGAGUGAGCCUGAGAGACGGCUAACACAACUAAGGUUGGCAGCAGGCGCGCAAAUUACCCAAUGUCAACACUGACGAGGUAGCGACGAAAAAUAGGAUUUCCGCUGGUCUUCGACCAGUGGAGAUUCCAAUGAAUGGUACUUAAACCCACCACUGAGUAACGAUUGGAGGGCAAGUCUGGUGCCAGCAGCCGCGGUAAUUCCAGCUCCAAGAGCGUAUGCUAAUGCUGUUGCUGUUAAAAAGCUCGUAGUUGGAUUCUGAGUUGGAGGUUGCACUCGGCCUUUCCUCUGGGCGUCCUCUGGGCGCUCCGGUCGGAUUGGAUACAACCGGGUGCUUUCGACCUUCACUCUACACACGCGGAAACGAUUCCUCUGCGGAAGCCUCCUUCACUGGUGGUGGAAGCAAAUCUACGGGACCACAAGUUCCCUCAAAGAGGCGUCCGCGAUUGUUACUGUGAACAAAACAGCGUGUUCAAAGCAUCCGUUUGGCUGAAUGAUCUAGCAUGGAAUAACAAGGGAUCGACCCUUUUGGUCUUCUUUUUGUCGGUUUUGAUUUCCCCAAGGGGCAAUCAAGGGCGGAGUAACCAUCUGGCCUCUUGUUGCGCUGGCUUCGGCCACGUGCUCAGGAACCAAAUGGUCUCCGUUCCGUCGGUAUUAAUAGGAGCAAGCGGGGUGGUACGUAUUGCUGCGUUAGUGGUGAAAUACUUAGACCGCAGCAGGACGAACAACAGCGAAGGCAUUCUGCAAGUUUGCUUUCAUUAAUCAAGAACGAGAGUGUGGGGUUCGAAGAUGAUCAGAUACCGUCGUAGUCCAUACCCGUAAACGAUGCCGAUUUGAAAUCAGCGGGGGUUCUACUUUAUGACCCCGUUGGCAUCGCCCCCUUUUAACGAGAAAUCCCAAAUUUUUGGGUUCAGGGGGGAGUACAUUCGCAAGGCUGAAACUUAAAGGAAUUGACGGAAUGACACCACAAGACGUGGAGUAUGCGGCUUAAUUUGACCCAACACGGGGAAACUCACCAGGUCAGGACGAAAUUAGGAUUGACAGAUUGAAGUUCUUUCU
rnacentral:rRNA from 1 species